GACGAACGCUGGCGGCGUGCUUAACACAUGCAAGUCGAACGGAAAGGCCCUGCUUUUGUGGGGUGCUCGAGUGGCGAACGGGUGAGUAACACGUGAGUAACCUGCCCUUGACUUUGGGAUAACUUCAGGAAACUGGGGCUAAUACCGGAUAGGUGCUCCUGCUGCAUGGUGGGGGUUGGAAAGUUUCGGCGGUUGGGGAUGGACUCGCGGCUUAUCAGCUUGUUGGUGGGGUAGCGGCUUACCAAGGCUUUGACGGGUAGCCGGCCUGAGAGGGUGACCGGCCACAUUGGGACCGAGAUACGGCCCAGACUCCUACGGGAGGCAGCGGUGGGGAAUAUUGCACAAUGGGCGGAAGCCUGAUGCAGCAACGCCGCGUGCGGGAUGACGGUCUUCGGGUUGUAAACCGCUUUCGCCUGUGACGAAGCGCGAGUGACGGUAAUGGGUAAAGAAGCACCGGCUAACUACGUG
rnacentral:rRNA from 1 species